rnacentral:rRNA from 1 species
UACGGGGGGGGCAAGCGUUGUUCGGAAUUACUGGGCGUAAAGGACUCGUAGGCGGCCAACUAAGUCAGACGUGAAAUCCCUCGGCUUAACCGGGGAACUGCGUCUGAUACUGGAUGGCUCGAGUUUGGGAGAGGGAUGCGGAAUUCCAGGUGUAGCGGUGAAAUGCGUAGAUAUCUGGAGGAACACCGGUGGCGAAGGCGGCAUCCUGGACCAACACUGACGCUGAUGAGCGAAAGCCAGGGGAGCAAACGGG